CCUACGGGUGGCAGCAGUGAGGAAUAUUGGUCAAUGGACGAGAGUCUGAACCAGCCAAGUAGCGUGAAGGAUGACUGCCCUAUGGGUUGUAAACUUCUUUUAUAUGGGAAUAAAACGUUCCACGUGUGGGAUUUUGUAUGUACCAUAUGAAUAAGGAUCGGCUAACUCCGUGCCAGCAGCCGCGGUAAUACGGAGGAUCCGAGCGUUAUCCGGAUUUAUUGGGUUUAAAGGGAGCGUAGGUGGAUUGUUAAGUCCGUUGUGAAAGUUUGCGGCUAAACCGUAAAAUUGCAGUUGAAACUGGCAGUCUUGAGUACAGUAGAGGUGAGCGGAAUUCGUGGUGUAGCGGUGAAAUGCUUAGAUAUCACGAAGAACUCCGAUUGCGAAGGCAGUUCACUGGACUGCAACUGACACUGAGGCUCGAAAGUGUGGGUAUCAAACAGGAUUAGAUACCCCUGUAGUC
rnacentral:rRNA from 1 species